rnacentral:rRNA from 1 species
UACGGGGGGGGCAAGCGUUGUUCGGAAUUACUGGGCGUAAAGGGCUCGUAGGCGGCCAACUAAGUCAGACGUGAAAUCCCUCGGCUUAACCGGGGAACUGCGUCUGAUACUGGAUGGCUUGAGUUCGGGAGAGGGAUGCGGAAUUCCAGGUGUAGCGGUGAAAUGCGUAGAUAUCUGGAGGAACACCGGUGGCGAAGGCGGCAUCCUGGACCGAUGCUGACGCUGAGGAGCGAAAGCCAGGGGAGCAAACGGG